ensembl:lncRNA
CAUACAUCAAGACGUGACCUAAUGGAGUCAAAGAGACCAGGAUAUGAGAUUAAACUGGCUGUGCAGCCUUGCUCAGUGUAUGAUUUAAUUUGGAAACAAAAAAACAAAACCAAACCCACAACGCUCUUCAGAGUUCCAAUGAUGAAAGGUUUGAAAGCCACUGAGUUCAGCCCUCCCAUGUUGCAGAUGGAAAGAGUGAGGUCCAGAGAAGAGGCGGCACUGGCUCCAGGUCACACAGCGAGCCGGGGCUACACUUGUGCUGUGUGCCGGGUGCGGCACCCAGAGAAUCCACCGGCUCUUCAGGUUCACCCAACGUACAGAGAAGGGG